rnacentral:rRNA from 1 species
GGAAUAUUGGACAAUGGGCGCAAGCCUGAUCCGGCCAUGCCGCGUGAGUGAUGAAGGCCUUAGGGUUGUAAAGCUCUUUCGUCAGGGAAGAUAAUGACGUUACCUGACGAAGAAGCCCCGGCUAACUUCAUGCCCGCAGCCGCGGUAAUACGAAGGGGGCUAGCGUUGCUCGGAAUCCCUGGGCGUAAAGCGCACGUAGGCGGCUUUCUAAGUCAGGGGUGAAAUCCCGGGGCUCAACCCCGGAACUGCCUUUGAUACUGGAGAGCUUGAGUUCGGGAGAGGUGAGUGGAACUGCGAGUGUAGAGGUGAAAUUCGUAGAUAUUCGCAAGAACACCAGUGGCGAAGGCGGCUCACUGGCCCGAUACUGACGCUGAGGUGCGAAAGCGUGGGGAGCAAAC